rnacentral:rRNA from 1 species
GUUAGGAAUAUUCGUCAAUGGGGGAAACCCUGAACGAGCAAUGCCGCGUGAAGGAAGAAGGUCCUCUGGAUUGUAAACUUCUGUUGUAAGGGAAGAACGACCAUUAUAGGAAAUGAUAAUGGAGUGACGGUACCUUACGAGAAAGCUCCGGCUAACUACGUGCCAGCAGCCGCGGUAAUACGUAGGGAGCGAGCGUUAUCCGGAAUUAUUGGGUGUAAAGCGUGUGUAGGCGGUGAUAUAAGUCUAAGGUUUAAGCCCGGAGCUCAACUCCGGAUCGCCUUAGAAACUGUAACACUUGAGUAUGGUAGAGGUAAACGGAAUUUCUAGUGUAGCGGUAAAAUGCGUAGAUAUUAGAAGGAACACCAGUGGCGAAGGCGGUUUACUGGGCCACCACUGACGCUGAGACACGAAAGCGUGGGGAGCAAAUAGGA